AGAAGAAGUAUCCAAACCAUGACUCCAUUCUACAUGGGUAUCUACAUUUUGAGGCACUGACAGAGCAUGACUACAAUUUUUCCUGUGUAAAUUGUGGGGUCCACCCACCUGUCGUUAUAAUGGACCUACACAAAAAAGGAGUUUUUAGUAUGCCAGUGAGUGACAUUGAAGAUCCCUCGCCAGAGUUUGAUGGACAUGUGGAUAUCGAGGCAUUUUGGCACUCAGUUGAGCGAGAGAUUGUUUGCAGGGGUUUUUUAAAAAGUAAUCGUGACAAUCCCUGCAAAGUCUCUCCUUCGUUUGAGAAAUGGGCGCCAUGGA